CCUGCCUAGGAAGGGCCAGCAUGCUGCCAGCUGCAGGUCAAGGUGCACUAAGACGCGCCCACGUGGCUAGGCAUGUGCUUUUCAUGCAUGUUUUCAGUUUUUGGACUGUAUGAUAGUGCCCUUCCGUUCUUUUUGUCCAACUGUGGACAUCCAACUGUAACCAGGUCUAGCAAGUAAUGUAUCUCCAAGGAUUCACUUGCAAGUGAACAAUUGUGGUCAUAACAGUUAAUUGACAUCCUCUUAAAGGUAACCACUUG
rnacentral:lncRNA from 1 species